rnacentral:rRNA from 1 species
AUUGAACGCUGGCGGCAUGCCUUACACAUGCAAGUCGAACGGUAACAGGUCUUCGGAUGCUGACGAGUGGCGAACGGGUGAGUAAUACAUCGGAACGUGCCCAGACGUGGGGGAUAACGAGGCGAAAGCUUUGCUAAUACCGCAUACGAUCUAAGGAUGAAAGCAGGGGACCGCAAGGCCUUGUGCGUUUGGAGCGGCCGAUGGCAGAUUAGGUAGUUGGUGGGAUAAAAGCUUACCAAGCCGACGAUCUGUAGCUGGUCUGAGAGGACGACCAGCCACACUGGGACUGAGACACGGCCCAGACUCCUACGGGAGGCAGCAGUGGGGAAUUUUGGACAAUGGGCGAAAGCCUGAUCCAGCAAUGCCGCGUGCAGGAUGAAGGCCUUCGGGUUGUAAACUGCUUUUGUACGGAACGAAAAGGAUCUGGCUAAUACCUGGGGCACAUGACGGUACCGUAAGAAUAAGCACCGGCUAACUACGUG